rnacentral:rRNA from 1 species
GGGGAAUUUUCCGCAAUGGGCGAAAGCCUGACGGAGUGACGCCGCGUGGGGGACGAAGGCCUUCGGGUCGUAAACCCCUGUCAGAGGGAAAGAAGGGUGUCGGCGUAAAUAGCGCCGGCACUUGACGGUACCUUCAGAGGAAGCCCCGGCCAACUCUGUGCCAGCAGCCGCGGUAAUACAGAGGUCCCGAGCGUUGUUCGGAUUCACUGGGCGUAAAGGGUGCGUAGGUGGUGAGGUAAGUCGGAUGUGAAAUCUCCGGGCUCAACCCGGAAACUGCAUUGGAAACUACCUUGCUUGAGGGUUUGAGGGGGGACUGGAAUUCUCGGUGUAGCAGUGAAAUGCGUAGAUAUCGAGAGGAACACCAGUGGCGAAGGCGAGUCCCUGGAAAACACCUGACACUGAGGCACGAAAGCUAGGGGAGCAAAC